CACGUAGGGUGCGAGCGUUAAUCGGAAUUACUGGGCGUAAAGCGUGCGUAGGCGGUUCGUUAAGUUCGUUGUGAAAGCCCCGGGCUCAACCUGGGAAUGGCAAUGGAAACUGGCGGGCUGGAGUAUGGCAGAGGGGGGUGGAAUUCCGCGUGUAGCAGUGAAAUGCGUAGAGAUGCGGAGGAACACCGAUGGCGAAGGCAGCCCCCUGGGCCAAUACUGACGCUCAGGCACGAAAGCGUGGGGAGCAAACAGG
rnacentral:rRNA from 1 species